rnacentral:rRNA from 1 species
UACGUAGGGAGCAAGCGUUUGUCCGGAAUCAUUGGGCGUAAAGCGCGCGUAGGUGGCCAUGUAAGUCCGCUGUGAAAGUCAAAAGGCUCAACCUUUGAAAGCCGGUGGAUACUGCAUGGCUAGAGUACGGAAGAGGCGAGUGGAAUUCCUGGUGUAGCGGUGGAAUGCGCAGAUAUCAGGAGGAACACCAAUAGCGAAGGCAGCUCGCUGGGACGUACUGACACUGAGGCGCGAAAGCGUGGGGAGCGAACAGGA